UACGAAGGGGGCUAGCGUUGCUCGGAAUCACUGGGCGUAAAGGGCGCGUAGGCGGCUUUCUAAGUCAGGGGUGAAAUCCUGGAGCUCAACUCCAGAACUGCCUUUGAUACUGGAGAGCUUGAGUCCGGGAGAGGUGAGUGGAACUCCGAGUGUAGAGGUGAAAUUCGUAGAUAUUCGGAAGAACACCAGUGGCGAAGGCGGCUCACUGGCCCGGUACUGACGCUGAGGUGCGAAAGCGUGGGGAGCAAACAGG
rnacentral:rRNA from 1 species